rnacentral:rRNA from 1 species
UAAGGAAUAUUGGUCAAUGGACGCAAGUCUGAACCAGCCAUGCCGCGUGGAGGAUUAAGGCCCUCUGGGUUGUAAACUCCUUUUAUCUGGGAAGAAAUGUACUUUUUCUUGAUUACUUGACGGUACCAGAGGAAUAAGCACCGGCUAACUCCGUGCCAGCAGCCGCGGUAAUACGGAGGGUGCAAGCGUUAUCCGGAUUCACUGGGUUUAAAGGGUGCGUAGGUGGGCAGGUAAGUCAGUGGUGAAAUCUCCGAGCUUAACUUGGAAACUGCCGUUGAUACUAUAGGUCUUGAAUUAUCUGGAGGUAAGCGGAAUAUGUCAUGUAGCGGUGAAAUGCUUAGAUAUGACAUAGAACACCAAUUGCGAAGGCAGCUUACUACAUAUAAAUUGACGCUGAGGCACGAAAGCGUGGGGAUCAAACA